CCUACGGGAGGCAGCAGUGGGGAAUUUUGGACAAUGGGCGCAAGCCUGAUCCAGCAAUGCCGCGUGAGUGAAGAAGGCCUUCGGGUUGUAAAGCUCUUUUGUCAGGGAAGAAACGGCAGUUUCUAAUACAGAUUGCUAAUGACGGUACCUGAAGAAUAAGCACCGGCUAACUACGUGCCAGCAGCCGCGGUAAUACGUAGGGUGCAAGCGUUAAUCGGAAUUACUGGGCGUAAAGCGUGCGCAGGCGGUUUUGUAAGUUUGUCGUGAAAUCCCCGGGCUCAACCUGGGAAUGGCGAUGAAGACUGCAAGGCUAGAAUCUGGCAGAGGGGGGUAGAAUUCCACGUGUAGCAGUGAAAUGCGUAGAGAUGUGGAGGAACACCGAUGGCGAAGGCAGCCCCCUGGGUCAAGAUUGACGCUCAUGCACGAAAGCGUGGGGAGCAAACAGGAUUAGAUACCCUGGUAGUCCACGCCCUAAACGAUGUCUACUAGUUGUCGGGUUUUAAUUAACUUGGUAACGCAGCUAACGCGUGAAGUAGACCGCCUGGGGAGUACGGUCGCAAGNUUAAAACGUCAAAGUGAAGUUGACGGCGNGAGAGAGACGAGACGACGACGAGGGAGGAGG
rnacentral:rRNA from 1 species